GAUGAACGCUGGCGGCGUGCCUAAUACAUGCAAGUCGAGCGAACGGACGAGAAGCUUGCUUCUCUGAUGUUAGCGGCGGACGGGUGAGUAACACGUGGAUAACCUACCUAUAAGACUGGGAUAACUUCGGGAAACCGGAGCUAAUACCGGAUAAUAUUUUGAACCGCAUGGUUCAAAAGUGAAAGACGGUCUUGCUGUCACUUAUAGAUGGAUCCGCGCUGCAUUAGCUAGUUGGUAAGGUAACGGCUUACCAAGGCAACGAUGCAUAGCCGACCUGAGAGAGUGAUCGGCCACACGGGAACUGAGACACGGACCAGACUCCUACGGGAGGCAGCAGUAGGGAAUCGUCCGCAAUGGGCGAAAGCCUGACGGAGCAACGCCGCGUGAGUGAUGAAGGUCUUCGGAUCGUAAAACUCUGUUAUUAGGGAAGAACAUAUGUGUAAGUAACUGAGCACAUCGUGACGGUACCUAAUCAGAAAGCCACGGCUAACUACGUG
rnacentral:rRNA from 1 species